UACGUAGGGUGCGAGCGUGUCCGGAAUUAUUGGGCGUAAAGAGCUUGUAGGCGGUUUGUCGCGUCUGCUGUGAAAUUUCGGGGCUCAACCCCGAACUUGCAGUGGGUACGGGCAGACUAGAGUGUGGUAGGGGAGACUGGAAUUCCUGGUGUAGCGGUGAAAUGCGCAGAUAUCAGGAGGAACACCGAUGGCGAAGGCAGGUCUCUGGGCCACUACUGACGCUGAGAAGCGAAAGCAUGGGGAGCGAACAGG
rnacentral:rRNA from 1 species